AAAUUGAAGAGUUUGAUCAUGGCUCAGAUUGAACGCUGGCGGCAGGCCUAACACAUGCAAGUCGAACGGUAACAGGAAGAAGCUUGCUUCUUUGCUGACGAGUGGCGGACGGGUGAGUAAUGUCUGGGAAACUGCCUGAUGGAGGGGGAUAACUACUGGAAACGGUAGCUAAUACCGCAUAACGUCGCAAGACCAAAGAGGGGGACCUUCGGGCCU
rnacentral:rRNA from 1 species